rnacentral:lncRNA from 1 species
UUUUUUUAUUUUAUUUUAUUUUUUGCUUUUUAGGGCCACACCUGCUGCAUAUGGAGGUUCCCAGACUAGGGGUCCAAUCAGAGCUCUGUAGCUCUGAUUCAACCCCUAGCCUGGGAAGCUCCAUAAGCCAUGGGUGUGGCCUUAAAAAAAAAAAAAGAAGAAAUAGAAAGAGCCCAUGUUUGACCACAUUAUGGUGAGAAACCAGAUUUUGGUCCUAAAAAAAAAAAAAAAAAAUUCUUUUAGCAAAUUGCUCUACAGUUAAGAAAAGAAAAAAAAAAAGAAAGGAGAAAAGAACAACCUGCUGGCUUCAUCACCAGUUCUCAAAGCACAGAUUCACACUCACCCCUAUAGCACAGAUUCACACUCACCCCUAUAUUCUCACUCCCAACAGGUGUCUUUGUUCUCCAGAGAUGGGAACCCCAAGGGUAAUUUAAGUGAUGGAAGGUUGCAGGAAACUAUCAUUAUGUAUCUUUAUGAAAGGACCUUUUUGUUAUCUUGGGAGAUGAGGGUGGAAAGAGACAGGUCCAUCUGUUGAAAUUUCUGAUUAUCUGAGACCUCUUCCCUUCCAUGAGACAUUGUUCACAUGAGUUCUGGCAACUGAGCCUCCUUCCCUUUGUCUAUAUGUUUGCUUAGUUUCCAUCAAUUGGAUCACAAGCCUACUGGUCCAGGGACACACUUAUCUCAACAAUGGACGUUUCCUUUAGGUUUUCUUCAAGAUUGCUCAUGCUCCAACUGGAACAAGGCAGAACGGAGGGGUGUUCUUCCAGAUCCAGGACCACAGAAAAGCCUGUGAGGCAGCCAUCCAGAGUCCAUCUUCGCUCCUCCAAGCUCUGCCAGCUUGAUUCAAACUCUUACCGCAUUCUUCGCACUGCCACGAGUCUCACCUCCUCCAGCAAAGAACUUUCGCAUUUCUAACAGUACAGAGGACGAGGCCUGAGGAAAAAAAAGCCUGUGGACAGAACAGGCUGUCCUUGUUUAUAAGGAGCCAGAGGCAUUGUUCACGUGAGUUCUGGCAACUGAGCCCCUGGGUUUCCAACUCCAGAGCCAGUCCCGACUCAGGACUGACCCAGACUCCAGGAGAGGGUUCAGGCUCCAAGCCACAAGUUCUCCAAUCUGUCAAUUGUGGAGUCAAAGGUUAUUAGGGGGAACCCUGUUCUUGUGCAAAACAAGCAUUGUCAGCAGAUGGACAUUAAGAGAGGGGCACACACAUAUUGGUGCAAAUGCAUUAAGAAACAAAACCAUUUCUACAUAGUAGCUGAUUAUAAUUUUUUUUUUUCCCACAACAAAUUAGAGAGUGGACCCAAAGUAUCUGUAUGGGGCAUACAACAACUGGAACAUGAAAAAGGAGACCUCAGGUCUGAAAAGCAUUUCUUUUUUUUAUGUGCUGUGUUUUGUUUUUUGUUUUGUUUUGUUUUUUAGGGCCGCACCCAUGGCUUAUGGAGGUUUCCAGGCUAGGGGUUGCAUCAGAGCUGCAGCUCCCAGCCUACAACACAGCUCACAGCAAUGCCAGAUCCUUAACUCCCUGAGCGAGGCUGGGGAUUGAAGCUGUGUCCUCAUGGUCACUAGUCAGAUUUGUUUCCACUGAGCUACAAUGGGAAUGCCUGAAAAGCAUUUCAAUUUCCUCCUCUAGGCACCAGGGUCAGGUGCGUGCUACUGCGCAGGUGAAGAAUCCAGACUCCGAAAUCCUUGAGUAUGGGUCUCCAGUUCCUACACUCAGUUACAUGACUCGGUCAAAUUAUGUUUGCAUUCACUGUUCUCAAAACCCAGCAGCUAUUAUGUGGCAGGACCAUUUCUAGACACGGGAGACACAGCAAGGAACAGAUAAAAGUCCCUAUCUCAGCAUUAUAGGGGCAGGGAUUAAAAUGGUACCUAUCUCAAUGGGCUAUUCUAAGAAUUUCAUACCAAGUAUUUUAGGUGAGGCCCUUAGAACAGAGUCUGGCACAGAAUCACUCUCUCAGUAAAUAGUAGCUCUUACUUAAAGCAGGAAAUGUCAAUUCCACAAGCUGUAGGAAGUAUGCUGGAUAUAUUUUUUUAAAGCGGGGUGGAUAGAAUGGCCAAAUGUCACAUCUGGCAUCACAUCUGGCCCCACCGAACCCAGGGCUGAGUGAGGAGAUCUGUCCGGCUCCAUGGCUGAGGCCCCUCCUCUCGUUCCCAAGGGUUGGCCCCGUUACAGACUUACUUUCCUCAUUAAAUAUGGGGACCCCCUAUGGUCUUUGAUACUUAAGGCCCAAGAAGGGAUUCCAUAAAACUGUGGUUCCCUCAUCAAAGAAUGUCUAAAAGUCACUUAUGAAGGUGCUCUGGGUAUGCGUGUCAAUGAUCCUUCUCUUGAGCCUUUCACUCCAAUCAUAGAGGGCUUGUAUUAUUCCCCCAAUCCUCCUUGUUCUUUAAUUCCACCAGGCCUUUUCCCAGCUAUUCCUGUUGAAAGGUGUGCCCUUCUCUGUUCUCUUUGCCUUGAUAUACCUGAUAUAAUUCCACCCAUCCUUGAAGACCAAGUUCAUACAAAAGCUCAUCUCCAUCCUUCCUGAACUCUGAAAUGGGCAGCUGGUUCUCUCACCUCUUCCCACCUGAACCCUAUCACAGCCUCAUCUAUUGGGUUAUUCUCACUCGUUUUAUGUUAUCCUGUCAUUAGAAAAUUCUGCUUGAAUGUUUAACAUCAAAUUCAGGGCAAUGGGCACACCUCAAAUAUUUCUUUUGCUCAGUUAUUCAGAAAACAUUUACUGAGCUCUGUUCUGUUCCAAUAUGCCAGGUGUAUGGCAAUGAGCCCACCACCCCAAAUGCCUGCCUGCCCUCUGGAACUGCCAUCCUAAUGGAGAAACUGCUCCUCACCCCUCUCUGCCCACACCUGUCCUCACCAGAUUAGCUGACCACCUACCCACCAAGAAGAAUUCCAGGUGUGAGAACCAGUUGUGUGGGGCAUGUUUUCAUGAAUAAAUAAAUAACUUUCACUUCUAGGUUCUUUGAAGUGUGAAGCAAACCAAAUGCCUAAAGCCAUGUUCCCAUGGGCUAUCACCACUAAGUUCCACCCUCUACCUCAUGGUCUUGGUGAUUUGGUGCCAUUUUUACAACGAGGAGGCACUUUAUCCAUCAAAAUUCAACUCCAUGCCUGUAGGGAACAGGGCAGAAUCGUUUCCUAGGAAAGAGAUCUUCCCAGCCAAGAUGAACCACACUCACCAGGGCCCCAAUGCAGAUUUUUCUUCUCGAAGCUGGAUAGGACUUUUUUUUUCUCACGCUGAAUUCCCUCAGGAUCUUUGCACAGCCCACCUGCAUCACCAGAUCCCUCACUUAUUUACCUACUGCCCCAGCAUUGCACCUGGCAUUUCGCAUAUGCAAGCAUUUCUCUUCCAAUUCCACCGCAAGCUCCAUGACUCCUGAAACGCCCUCAGAAGUCACACCACCUCACACCAUGUGAACACACACAGCAGGUGCUCAAUAAGUGCUUGCUACACUUCAUCUCUAGAAAUUAUUCUUACAUCUCACCUACUGUGGAGGAGGGAAGCCCAAAUCUGCACACCACCCACACCCAAAGUAAAACUCUAACUCACUUCCAGAAAGGCAAUAAUACAAACUUCUAAGAAGAAAAACCAUCCAAAGAAUAAACAGCAUUGGCCAUGUGGAGCUUUCCAUGAUCUCAUCAACUUUUUCUAGUGUGCUAAAAACCAACCUAUAACUAGCUGGCAUCUGUCUGUUGCAGAGACGUGAUCUUAAAUGGUCCUUCAAAAACUUCACUGGUAUCUCCUUCUUAUCUUAAAAAAUUGCAAUCAAACCUCAGGAUUACUGUAUAAUGGACUGUUGGUUUUUUACCCCUCUAACUAACAUUUUCUGUGCCCUUACUGUUUGGGGCCUCUCUGUAAAACUGCUUUGUGAUAAAUCAUUCAAUAUCAAAAUACCCCCUAUGAAAUUGGUCCUUCUACUGGUCCUAUUUUACAGCUGCUAAAAUAGAGACUCAGAGAGGGUAUGUCACAUGGUUUAGAACCUGCCAAUCAAACCAAGAGCAGCUGGCCUCAUGACCCACAUACUAUGCCAGGCAUCAGAAAACUACAGCUUGAGGGCCAAAUCUGGCCUAUCUACCUACCGCAUGUGUUUGUAAACAAAGUUUUAUUGGAAUGUGGCAAAGCUCAUUUGUUUAUAUAUUGUCUAUGGCUUCUUUCAUGUUCCAACAGCAGAGUUAAGUAGUUGAGACAGAGACUGUAUGGCCCACAAAGCCUAAAAUAUUUACUCUCUGGCACUUUGCUGAAAAAGUUUGCCAACCCCUGGUCCAAGCUACGUUGGCAAAGAUAAAAUGUUGAAGUCAUAGCAUUCUCCUAAAAGUCUCAACAUAUCAUACACAAAGUACAGAGCUUGCAACAAAAACGGAAGAUUUCCAAUGACCUUAAAAAUCUAGAGUGGGAACAGUCUUUGCAAGUCAUCUGCCUUCUGUUUCUGAAUUAGAAGUUGAGCUUGGCAUUAGUAAAUGCCUUAUGACUCUAACUCCCAUUUAGAGAUAAAUGCGCUUGGAAUAUUAGACAUAUUUAUUGCUUGCAAAACUAUCUGUAACAAAGAAUAUUGCCCCAUUGGUCGAACAGCAAUAGAAAACUGAUCGAUUCCCUAGGCAAAGUAUUAUACUUAGACCUACACAAACCAGUGUAAGAAAGCACAGAUGGG